ACGACCCUGGGCAUGUCCUCAGCUGUCAGGUCUCCCUUGCUGAGACGUGAGCUCCCGGCGCUCAGAUGGAAUCUUCCUCUUCUUGGCAUGGACUUGAGCAACCCGCCCUGCUCCUGUCCUGCAGCCACAUCUACAUCACACGUGCAGAAGACGAGGCUGAGAAGGGACUCCGUAUUGUCAAGGCAAGUGUGGGAUGCAGCAUGCAGACCAACUUCGGAACACAGAAAACACCCUCUACCAUGUCCGAGUGAGGCUCAUUUCCCCUGAGGAUGGCACUAAACGCAACAAAGAGAAAACAGUACAGACCCAGCUGUUUUCCAAUAGUCAUAGGACUCAUACCUAAUGCCGACGGACUACCAAGCGUAUUUGCACAAACUCUAUCACACACAGCACAUGGAAUCUCCAGGCGUGGCCAUGAAAGAAAACGGCAUGUUCUCCUUGUCAAAAUGCCCUCUUCUUGCCAACCCACUGCACCAAACUGAAC